rnacentral:lncRNA from 1 species
UGAUAUCGAAAUGUAAAGAGAUGCUAAAAAAGGGCAAGGAUGUUCAACAAAGAGAUAAUAUCAACAGAUCCUCGAUCAUCAACAUUCCAUAAGAAAAAGGAGUUCCAAGAGAUUUGACCAUCUAACUAAUUGAUAAAGUGACCAAUUGGAGUUCAAAAAUGGCUUUCAUAGUGCGCCACCAUCCCCCCUUGUUAAUAUCCAGUUUCCAAAGUCUCUCAUCAAGUUUUUCAGUCAGCUUAAUGUUGUCUAAACAAAGCAUAAGGUUGUUGUACUCAUCAAUCUCCCAAUCUUGCAGAUUCCUCUUAACCUUAACACUCUAGGUUCUAUCACC